AUGCCAUGAAGAGAACACCUUUUGAGCAGUUCUUUAAAUCUCUCCCAAGCAUCAUACAAGCUCUCAUCUUCAAGUCAAUGAAAUGAAGUAAUCUCAUUUCGCAAUUU
rnacentral:snoRNA from 1 species